AAAUGAAUAGACGGGCACCCGCACAAGCGGUGGAGCAUGCUGUUUAAUUCGAAGAUACGCGAAAAACCUUACCAGGGCUUGACAUCCCUCUGACCGAUUUAGAAAUAAAUCUUUCCCUUCGGGGACAGGGGUGACAGGUGGUGCAUGGUUGUCGUCAGCUCGUGUCGUGAGAUGUUUGGUUAAGUCCAAUAACGAGCGCAACCCCUAUCUUUAGUUGCUAACAUUUAGUUGAGAACUCUAAAGAUACUGUCGGUGAUAAACCGGAGGAAGGUGGGGAUGACGUCAAAUCAUCAUGCCCCUUACGUCCUGGGCAACAGGCGUGCUACAAUGGCCAGUAUAAUAAGACGCAAUAUCGUAAGAUGGAGCUAAUCUAUAAAGCUGGUCCCAGUUCGGAUUGAGGUCUGCAACUCGACCUCAUGAAGUUGGAAUCGCUAGUAAUGGCAGAUCAGAAUGCUGCCGUGAAUACGUUCCCGGGUGUUGUACACACCGCCCGU
rnacentral:rRNA from 1 species